CCUACGGGAGGCAGCAGUGAGGAAUAUUGGACAAUGGGCGCAAGCCUGAUCCAGCCAUGCCGCGUGCAGGAAGAAGCAUCUAUGGUGUGUAAACUGCUUUUGUACAGGAAGAAACACUCCCUCGUGAGGGAGCUUGACGGUACUGUAAGAAUAAGGACCGGCUAACUCCGUGCCAGCAGCCGCGGUAAUACGGAGGGUCCGAGCGUUAUCCGGAAUCAUUGGGUUUAAAGGGUCCGUAGGCGGUUUAAUAAGUCAGUGGUGAAAUCUGGUCGCUCAACGAUCAAACGGCCAUUGAUACUGUUAGACUUGAAUUAUAAGGAAGUAACUAGAAUAUGUAGUGUAGCGGUGAAAUGCUUAGAUAUUACAUGGAAUACCAAUUGCGAAGGCAGGUUACUACUUAUGGAUUGACGCUGAUGGACGAAAGCGUGGGGAGCGAACAGGAUUAGAUACCCUGGUAGUCCACGCCGUAAACGAUGGAUACUAGCUGUUCGGAGCAAUCUGAGUGGNGUAGACGAAGUAGAGUAAGUAUACCACCGUACGGGUAGGUACGGUUCGUCGAAGAAGAGAAACGUAACGAAAGAAAGUUAGUACGGACGUGAGACGUAGACGACGGACGACGACGAGGGAGGAGGNG
rnacentral:rRNA from 1 species